rnacentral:lncRNA from 1 species
GGAUCUCAAAGGUGGUGACAACUUCGUUAGUUAUGUGUGCCCCAGCAGAUGGAGGAGCUGAACGUUACUUAGGGAUCACUCCCCUGUUGCUGGACAUCUAUGUUAUUUUCAUUUAUUCUCACUUAUUUCUGCUGGUACUGGGGGUUAAAUCCAGGGUCUGUGCAUGACUGCCAAGUACCCUACCACUGAGAACUGCAUCCCAUCUUGUUUUACUAUUUUUAUUUUGAGACACUGUCUCCCUCAACUGUCCACACUGGCCUUGAACCCAUGACCCUACUGCUUCAAGUCUUCUAUUUCUUUUUUCUUCUUUUUGAGACAGUGUUUUGUUAUGUUGCCCAGGCUGGCCUUGAAAUAGAAAUUUCCCUACUUCGACUUUCUGAGUGGUGGGAUUACAGAUAUAAGCCGUUACAUCUGUUCAUAUUUUUUAUUGCUGCUACCGUGACCUUCAGUAUGCUUGAAGUAUCUUCCUGCAUCCAGAGUUUUACUGACAUCAGAAGUAUAAAGAAUAUAAACAUUUCCCACAAACACAAUUUUUUAUUAUAAAAUAAUACUUGGUAAUGGUGCUAUUAUCUAUUUACUUACAUCUUAGGGCCAGCAAGAUGGUUCCGUGGGUAAAGGCACUUGUUACCAAGCCAAGCCUGAUGACCAGAGUUUGAUUCCAGGACUCACAUGGUGGAAGGUGACAAGUUGUCAUCUGACCACCUCAUACACUCC